AUUCAGCUGACGAGUCCCAAUUAGGAUGGAACGCGCGUCCUGAAU
rfam:Schistosoma curassoni strain Dakar, Senegal genome assembly, scaffold: SCTD_scaffold0020743